AUCUAGCUGACGAGUCCCAAAUAGGACGAAACGCGCGUUCUGGAU
rfam:Schistosoma rodhaini strain Burundi genome assembly, scaffold: SROB_scaffold0006896